rnacentral:lncRNA from 1 species
AUAAAUUCUAGAUAAUAAAGCAGCUUGUGAGACAAUGAUUUCCCAUAUCCCUGAGGGAAGAGACUGUGCUAUUCAUCUUUGCAUCUCCCAUAACAUCUAACACAAAGCACAGUACAUUGGAGAAUAAAGAGUAAGACUCUGAAGGAAUAAAAUGGAAACAAGUGAAUGUUGAUGGAAGCGUGGAAAGGAUGGGAAAGACCAGUGAGAGGAGUCAGACCGAGGAGAGAAGUCUGAGCACCAUGAGAAGACUCAAGAUUAAGGAACCCAAGGAACGAAAGGGAGCCUCCCAAAGACUCAGGCUUUGAUUACAUGCCGUCUCCUACAAUAUGUUGUCAUUUCCUGUUCGAUUAUCUGUCUCCCUAAUUAAAAUGUAAGCACCUUGCUUACAAGAAAA